rnacentral:rRNA from 1 species
CCUACGGGUGGCUGCAGUCGAGAAUCAUUCACAAUGGGGGAAACCCUGAUGGUGCGACGCCGCGUGGGGGAAUGAAGGUCUUCGGAUUGUAAACCCCUGUCAUGUGGGAGCAAAUUAAAAAGAUAGUACCACAAGAGGAAGAGACGGCUAACUCUGUGCCAGCAGCCGCGGUAAUACAGAGGGCUCAAGCGUUGUUCGGAAUCACUGGGCGUAAAGCGUGCGUAGGCGGUUGCGUAAGUCGUGUGUGAAAGGCGCGGGCUCAACCCGCGGACGGCACAUGAUACUGCGAGACUAGAGUAAGGGAGGGGGAACCGGAAUUCCCGGUGUAGCAGUGAAAUGCGUAGAUAUCGGGAGGAACACUAGUGGCGAAGGCGGGUUCCUGGACAUUAACUGACGCUGAGGCACGAAGGCCAGGGGAGCGAAAGGGAUUAGAUACCCUGGUAGUC